UGAAGUCGAGAGAAGCUGCAGAGUCGCUGAUAAUCAUCCCUUAUUUACACAUCAGACCUUUUAACUUGCACAGGUGGAAUCAGUAACAUUAAUGAUGGCUGCGUUAUUUUUAGCCGAGCCAUUUGCAGCGCUCUGCUGUUGCGCAUGCUCAGUCACUGACUCACUGGGGCAAUUAAUGUUGAUAGAGCCACCCUGAGGAAGACGUCUCCACGGGCAGCUUCUCCAAACCACUCAGGCCUUCAACCAGGCGACCUCCCCGCCUCCCUCAUCCACCACGACACACCAGGGAGAGAGAUUAUAUAUCAACUGAGGCCACCGGGUGAUGAAAUCCGUCUCCCCACGGUGAGGCGGGGAAUGUUAUUGCUUCCGCAGGUGUUACUGAGGCGGUGCGGCAGGCUUUUCUCCUCCUGGAGUGACUGUCAAAACACCUUUAACACCGUCCUUCAACAGCAGCUUUAAAAAAAAAAAAAAAAAGGCAGCAGCAGCAGCUCUGUGAAAGCUUAAUGAAUCUUUCAUGAAGCUGCUGUGGGAAUUAUUGCCUGAGAAGGUACUGAGAUCAGCCAUAAAGUCCUGGGACAUACAGGAUGAUGAGAGACGACUAGCAGGAGUGUAGAUAUUUCAUAAGUUUCAAAGAUGGGUCGCAACACAAGCACACGUCUUCCUCUCGGCGGCGGCUUAAGAACUCUUUUAACAACUAUUGCAUGACUUGUAGUGACUCCUGGAGUCAUACAACUUUUAUAUCUAUGGAAGUGCACUGACUGUCUGCCGGGUAAAAGGCGGACUGAACAAUUACAGGCUGCCUCGGAGUGUUUGUGAUGUAUAAUUAAACUUCAUCAAAUGGGUUUGUUUGCCUUGCACUCGGAGUUCAUGCAAACAAAGCCCAUUUACUCACACGAGUCGUAGAAGGCUGAAGACUGUAAUUGUCGUUAUCUUUAGAGCAGCUCGAGUCAAAUGCGACUUUCUAUACGUCAGAGUCAGGAGAGCAGAAGCAUGCAAAACAAUUACCCUUAAACUUAUGCUUGAAGGGUCUAUGUGUAGACUCUCUAUGUGAUUAAAAGUAUCUUACAAACUUA